CUACCUGUUAUUCAAUGUAUUAGGUUUAUCCAACUCGUUGAACGACUGGGCGUAAGUUUCUGGUAAUUGGCUCGGCCUUACAACAACAAACAAGUUUGACCUCAAAUCAGGUAAGAUUACCCGCUGAACUUAAGCAUAUCAAUAAGCGGAGGAAAAGAAACCAACAGGGAUUGCCUUAGUAGCGGCGAGUGAAGCGGCAAUAGCUCAAAUUUGAAAUCUGGCACCUUCGGUGUCCGAGUUGUAAUUUGAAGAAGGUAUCUUUGGUUUUGGCUCUUGUCUAUGUUCCUUGGAACAGGACGUCACAGAGGGUGAGAAUCCCGUGCGAUGAGAUGCCCAAUUCCAUGUAAAGUUCCUUCGACGAGUCGAGUUGUUUGGGAAUGCAGCUCUAAGUGGGUGGUAAAUUCCAUCUAAAGCUAAAUAUUGGCGAGAGACCGAUAGCGAACAAGUACUGUGAAGGAAAGAUGAAAAGAACUUUGAAAAGAGAGUGAAAAAGUACGUGAAAUUGUUGAAAGGGAAGGGCUUGAGGUCAGACUUGGUUUUACCAGGCCAGCAUCAGUUUGGAUGGCAGGAUAAUAGCUUAGGAAUGUGGCACUGCUUCGGUAGUGUGUUAUAGCCUGGGUUGAUACUGCCUGUCUAGACUGAGGACUGCGUCUUGACUAGGAUGCUGCAU
rnacentral:rRNA from 1 species